UGCAGUCGAACGGUAACAUUUCUAGCUUGCUAGAAGAUGACGAGUGGCGGACGGGUGAGUAAUACUUAGGAAUAUGCCUUUGUGUGGGGGAUAACCAUUGGAAACGAUGGCUAAUACCGCAUAACGUCUUCGGACCAAAGGGGGCCUUGGCUCCCGCGCAAAGAGUAGCCUAAGCGAGAUUAGCUUGUUGGUGAGGUAAAGGCUCACCAAGGCGACGAUCUCUAGCUGUUCUGAGAGGAAGAUCAGCCACACUGGAACUGAGACACGGUCCAGACUCCUACGGGAGGCAGCAGUGGGGAAUAUUGCACAAUGGGGGAAACCCUGAUGCAGCCAUGCCGCGUGUGUGAAGAAGGCCUUCGGGUUGUAAAGCACUUUCAGUUGUGAGGAAAGGUUAACGGUUAAUACCCGUUAGCUGUGACGUUAGCAACAGAAGAAGGACCGGCUAACUCCGUGCCAGCAGCCGCGGUAAUACGGAGGGUCCGAGCGUUAAUCGGAAUUACUGGGCGUAAAGCGCACGCAGGCGGUUUGUUAAGCUAGAUGUGAAAGCCCUGGGCUCAACCUGGGAAUUGCAUUUAGAACUGGCAGGCUAGAGUUUUGGAGAGGGGAGUGGAAUUCCAGGUGUAGCGG
rnacentral:rRNA from 1 species